rnacentral:RNase_MRP_RNA from 10 species
AUCGAAUUCUUUUGUGUUUGGGUGUCUUUGUUGCAAGUGAUGGUGAGCAUUUGCAUGUGCUUUCAGAAGGCAGGGGAAGCACGACUUCGCAGCGCACACAGGGCACCAACCGAACGGGGCUCACUCUC